UACGUAGGCAGCAAGCGUUGUUCGGAGUUACUGGGCGUAAAGGGUGCGUAGGCGGUUGUUUAAGUUUGGUGUGAAAUCUCCCGGCUCAACUGGGAGGGUGCGCCGAAUACUGAAUGGCUAGAGUGCGGGAGAGGAGAGUGGAAUUCCUGGUGUAGCGGUGAAAUGCGUAGAUAUCAGGAGGAACACCGGUGGUGUAGACGGCUCUCUGGACCGUAACUGACGCUGAGGCACGAAAGCGUGGGUAGCAAACAGG
rnacentral:rRNA from 1 species